UACAGAGGGUGCGAACGUUGCUCGGAAUUACUGGGCGUAAAGCGCAUGUAGGCGGAUCCAUAAGUCGGGCGUGAAAUCCCCAGGCUCAACCUGGGAACUGCGCUCGAAACUGUGGGUCUUUGAGUGUUGGAGAGGAUGGCGGAAUUCCUGGUGUAGAGGUGAAAUUCGUAGAUAUCAGGAGGAACACCGGUGGCGAAGGCGGCCAUCUGGACAACAACUGACGCUGAGAUGCGAAAAGCGUGGGGGAGCAAACAGG
rnacentral:rRNA from 1 species